GAAAUGCGAUAAGUAAUGUGAAUUGCAGAAUUCAGUGAAUCAUCGAAUCUUUGAACGCACCUUGCGCUCCUUGGUAUUCCGAGGAGCAUGCCUGUUUGAGUGUCAUGGAAUUCUCAACUCUAUUUGCUUUUGUGAAUAGAGCUUGGAUUUGGAGGUUUAUUGCUGGUACUUGUGAUCGGCUCCUCUUGAAUGCAUUAGCUCGAACCUUUGCGGAUCAGCUAUCGGUGUGAUAAUUGUCUACGCCGUUGCAGUGAAGCAUAUCAAUGGGCUCGGCUUCCAAUCGUCCUUUACUGGACAACGACUUUGACCUUUGACCUCAAAUCAGGUAGGAUUACCCGCUGAACUUAAGC
rnacentral:misc_RNA from 1 species